rnacentral:tRNA from 1 species
CGGCGGCCCGGCCGGAGCGGGCUGGGCCGCCGGGCUGGAGCUACGGGGCGACGGCUGGUGGCCCCGGUUCGAGGCCGGGCUGAUGG